rnacentral:rRNA from 1 species
GGGCGGUACAUCGGUAAAAGGAUAACGCAGGUGUCCCAAGGUAAGCUCAAGGAGAACAGAAAUCUCAUGUGGAUCAGAAGGGGAAAUGCUUGCUUGAUUUUGCUUUUCAGUGUGAAGACAAACUGUGCAAACAUGGCCUAUCGAUCCUUUGGGUCUGAGGGAUGUUCAGCUAGAGGUGUCAGAAAAGUUACCACAGGG